UAUAGAGUAGGGCUACUAUACUAUUAUGAGUAUUGAGCCCUUCGUACUCAUAAGUUGUUUUCGAUGAUGGAGCUUCUGAAUCGACGAUCCACUCCGUUAAAUAUGAUUUAGAGUAUUUGAAACUUUUAGGUAUCGUUUGGUUCGAGGAUAAGCAAAAGUGGCUAUUCCAGGGAUAGGUAUAAAUUGAGGUAUAAGCGGGAUUAGAUUAAAUUUUACGUUUGGAUGAAAAUUGGGUUAUUUCUGAAAAUAAAAAAUAGCGUUUGGUUAGGUAAGAUGGAAUUAGAAGGAUAGUGGGUUUUAUAAAUAAAAAAUAAUGAUAUUAUCCU
rnacentral:lncRNA from 1 species